GAUGAACGCUGGCGGCGUGCCUAAUACAUGCAAGUCGAACGAACAGACGAGGAGCUUGCUCCUCUGACGUUAGCGGCGGACGGGUGAGUAACACGUGGAUAACCUACCUAUAAGACUGGGAUAACUUCGGGAAACCGGAGCUAAUACCGGAUAAUAUAUUGAACCGCAUGGUUCAAUAGUGAAAGACGGUUUUGCUGUCUCUUAUAGAUGGAUCCACGCCGCAUUAGCUAGUUGGUAAGGUAACGGCUUACCAAGGCAACGAUGCGUAGCCGACCUGAGAGAGUGAUCGGCCACCCGGGAACUGAGACACGGUCCAGACGCCUACGGGAGGCAGCAGUAGGGAAUCGUCCGCAGUGGGCGAAAGCCUGACGGAGCAACGCCGCGUGAGUGAUGAAGGUCUUCGGAUCGUAAAACUCUGUUAUUAGGGAAGAACAAAUGUGUAAGUAACUAUGCACGUCUUGACGGUACCUAAUCAGAAAGCCACGGCUAACUACGUG
rnacentral:rRNA from 1 species